GGUAUCGCCGUUAGUCAUGUGCAAAUAUGGAUAGCUGUUUUAGCCGUCUUUAUUGACUGGUUUAUAAGAGUUAUCAGAUAUCACUUUGAUUAAAUUAGAGUGCUUAAAGCAAGUGUGUUACUUGGAUAUAAAUGCAUGGAAUGAUGGAAUAUGUUGUUAUUCUAUUUGUUGGUUUUUGAAUGAUAAAAUGAUUGAAAGGAACUGUUGGGGGCAUUCGUAUUGUUGUGAGAGAGGUGAAAUUCUUAGACCACAGCAAGACGAACUACUGCGAAAGCAUUUGCCAAGAAUGUUUUCAUUGAUCAAGAACGAAAGUUAGAGGUUCGAAGGCGAUCAGAUACCGCCCUAGUUCUAACCAUAAACUAUGCCAACUAGCAAUUUGCUUUGUAUUUUUUAUGACUAAGUGAGAGGCCACGGGAAACCUAAGUAGGGUUAUGGGGGAAGUAUGGUUGCAAAGCUGAAACUUAAAGGAAUUGACGGAAGGGCACCACCAGGAGUGGAGCCUGCGGCUUAAUUUGACUCAACACGGGAAAACUUACCUGGUCCUGACACUAGAAGGAUUGACAGAUUGAUAGCUCUUUCUUGAUUUGGUGGAUGGUGGUGCAUGGCCGUUCUUAGUUGGUGGAGUGAUUUGUCUGGUUAAUUCCGAUAACGAACGAGACUCUAGCCUAUUAAAUAAUACACGGAAUUUUAUCUUCCGCGGUAUUUCUUAGUGGGAUCAAGCGU
rnacentral:rRNA from 1 species